rnacentral:tRNA from 1 species
AUUUCGAUAGCUCAAAUAAAAAGAGCAUAACACUGAAGAUGUUAAGGUGGGACACAUCAUAUCCCUUG